UACAGAGGGGGCAAGCGUUAUUCGGAAUUAUUGGGCGUAAAGGGCGCGUAGGCGGCGAUUCAAGUGACGGGUGAAAUCCCUCGGCUUAACCGAGGAACUGCCUGUCAGACUGGAUUGCUUGAGUCCGGGAGAGGCGAGUGGAAUUCCCAGUGUAGCGGUGAAAUGCGUAGAUAUUGGGAGGAACACCAGUGGCGAAGGCGGCUCGCUGGACCGGAACUGACGCUGAGGAACGAAAGCUAGGGGAGCAAACAGG
rnacentral:rRNA from 1 species